CCGUAAAUGAACCUGCGGAGGGAUCAUUACCGAGUUUACAACUCCCAAACCCAAUGUGAACGUUACCAAACUGUUGCCUCGGCGGGAUCUCUGCCCCGGGUGCGUCGCAGCCCCGGACCAAGGCGCCCGCCGGAGGACCAACCUAAAACUCUUAUUGUAUACCCCCUCGCGGGUUUUUUUUAUAARCUGAGCCUUCUCGGCGCCUCUCGUAGGCGUUUCGAAAAUGAAUCAAAACUUUCAACAACGGAUCUCUUGGUUCUGGCAUCGAUGAAGAACGCAGCGAAAUGCGAUAAGUAAUGUGAAUUGCAGAAUUCAGUGAAUCAUCGAAUCUUUGAACGCACAUUGCGCCCGCCAGUAUUCUGGCGGGCAUGCCUGUCCGAGCGUCAUUUCAACCCUCGAACCCCUCCGGGGGGUCGGCGUUGGGGAUCGGCCCUCCCUUAGCGGGUGGCCGUCUCCGAAAUACAGUGGCGGUCUCGCCGCAGCCUCUCCUGCGCAGUAGUUUGCACACUCGCAUCGGGAGCGCGGCGCGUCCACAGCCGUUAAACACCCAACUUCUGAAAUGUGACCUCGGAUCAUGUA
rnacentral:rRNA from 1 species